rnacentral:rRNA from 1 species
CGUACACUCCUACGGGAGGCAGCAGUGGGGAAUAUUGGACAAUGGGCGCAAGCCUGAUCCAGCCAUGCCGCGUGAGUGAUGAAGGCCCUAGGGUUGUAAAGCUCUUUCACCGGUGAAGAUAAUGACGGUAACCGGAGAAGAAGCCCCGGCUAACUUCGUGCCAGCAGCCGCGGUAAUACGAAGGGGGCUAGCGUUGUUCGGAUUUACUGGGCGUAAAGCGCACGUAGGCGGACUAUUAAGUCAGGGGUGAAAUCCCGGGGCUCAACCCCGGAACUGCCUUUGAUACUGGUAGUCUUGAGUUCGAGAGAGGUGAGUGGAAUUCCGAGUGUAGAGGUGAAAUUCGUAGAUAUUCGGAGGAACACCAGUGGCGAAGGCGGCUCACUGGCUCGAUACUGACGCUGAGGUGCGAAAGCGUGGGGAGCAAACAGGAUUAGAAACCCCGGUAGUCCC